AUGAUUAGGAAAACAAAAGGUGUACAAGAAGGUAGAAGUGAUGAGGUUCAAGAAGGUAGUGGAGUUAUCAAUGAUGACCCAGAGUACAAUCCUAAGGAGGAUGAAGUUAUUGAUGGAGAGGAAGUGGAUGAUGUCGUAGUGAACAAGGCUGUUAAGGUGCAAACUCUGUCUUGCUUGGAGGAAGAAGAAGACCUCAGAAACAUCUGCUGCAAUGUGUCCAGGAAGGGUGAUGGCCCUAGCUCCAGGACAAAAAAGAGGAUCCUGGAACCUGAUGAACCUGCCCCUGACAGAGUCACAAGGCAGAAAGCAAAGAUGGCGACUGCGACGGACCAUCAGGAAAGUCUGCUGCGCAUGGACUCUGAGACUUCGGUGCAAAUGGGUGGUGAGUUGCCGCCCAUGGAUGAAGAUGCAAUGACUGCCAAGACUAGACCUAGAAAGGGCAAAGGGCUAGAGAGAAUCACCAAGUCGCUUCGUAACAAGGUGCCUAUCCAAAUUGCCGAAGGGAUGAAGCGUCCAGAGAAGCCUCUGCAGGCAGCAAAGCUUGCUUCUGAGUGUGGACUCGUUGCAAGAAGACAUCUUCCGAUUCUUCCUCACUUCAAUCUAUACAAAAAAAUGCUAGUCUAUUGGAGAACUACAUUGGGAAAGUUGUUGCAAAUUUUGAGAUGA
rnacentral:rRNA from 1 species